rnacentral:lncRNA from 1 species
CUUCUGUCUGGGUAGCAUAUCAACAGGGGCCCAGAUGUAAACUGAUCUGAAACUUGUUCAAAUUUACCACCAAAGCAACUCUGGGAAGCAGUACAAAUACAGAGUUCCAUGAGACAACACUUAAGAGUUCCUCUUGGACAGGAAAGCACAUGCAAACACUGUCCAACAUGAGUAUUCAGACAUGCAGAGAAAUCUUAUACCAAGUAUAACCAACCAUAAAUGGGCAAUAUAGCAUUUUUACUGAAAAGGUAAAUAUAGCCUAAUUUACUCUGCUUAAGCAUGAUGCUCAGAUAGGAGAACUAAUCUACCGUGUCCACAGACCAGUGAAUUUACUGUGGGGAAACAGUAAACAGUUGAGGUGACGUCUAUGGUCUAAGGCCUGCAGAAAUUGAGCAAUGGUAAAGCCUCAAGAGGAGAAUGUUACAGGUUAAGAGAGAAAAGGAGCAGGGUAGUGUACCCCUUAGUUUGCUCGACAGAUGAACAGUCUACAAAGUAGAAACAUGACAUUCAGGAGAGCCAGGCACCAGAAGACCCAGAGGGCCAGAGAUCAUUAAAAGGAAAAAGAAAUCAGGAGUGGGA